rnacentral:lncRNA from 1 species
AAAAAAAUCCGAUUUUGACGUCUUCAUGUACGCCCGCCUAGCCCGUUCCCGGACCCGCAUACCUCCGCCUAGUCCUUCUUAGUCUCGCCCAAGCAUUCUGCUUUUUGAUUUUGUGGUUGAUUCAGAAGGGGUAGAUUAUCCGACGAGACCAGAGGGGCACUUGGGCUUCAUUUUCGAAGAGGGGAGGGGUGCGCCACCCCUCUUAUCCUUCUGUAGCUUCGCCUAUGCUCUAGCCCCCUGGAUCGCAAGCAUUUUGUCCCUAUAAUAGUUCCCGUAAAGCAUAAAUCUUCAGAAGUUCAUCCUCCCCAAUAACAUAAUCGCCAGCGGCCUUGAAUUCCUUGCGAAGCCGGACUCGACUCGUCCUCUCGAACAAUCGGAUUCGAAGAUCUGAUACGAUAAAGGAAGCGAGAAGGAGAAACGAAGAGGGUAUGAUUGGGUUUAAGAAAGUUUCAUUAAACUUUACUAUUCAUCCACCUGCUUUGAAAAAAAGCAGGUUUUGAGAAGCAGUAAAAUGUUGCUUCCAUUUUUCUGCUUAUUUUGGCUAAAACUUUGAAAAGAAGCGCUUAUUUUUAUAUUUAUCAAACACAUUUUACACUCCAACUUUUAUUCAUAGCUGUUUUUUUAUAAUUUCAGCCGUGCCAAACUGGUACUUCAUCACACUCUUUAUCCGUAAUUUCAUUGCUUUCCACUCUCCACUCAAAUCCCGCUUUUAGUAAAUUAGUUUAGUUUAAAAUAUCGCUCGAACAAAAAACAAAGCCGAGUUCCCAAAGUCCUUUUGGCUUUGGCAUCCAUAAAGGAAGAACUUUAUAAUCAAAUUCUCAAAAAGUCGUCAAAUUUAUCAUCUGGGAUAAGGAUUAUAUGGGUAUCGAAGGAGUGGAAGAAUCGGGAGGCACGGGGGUGCCCCUAUCGAAAUUCAGGUACAACUCGCCGUUUGUUCAAGUGAGUCUCAUCGGAUUGGUCUGUUUCUGCUGCCCUGGCAUGUUCAACGCCCUCUCCGGCAUGGGCGGCGGAGGCCAGGUCGACCCGACUGCCUCCAACAACGCCUCCACUGCCCUCUUCACCACCUUCGCCAUCUUCGGCAUCCUCGGUGGCGGCAUCUACAACAUCCUCGGCCCCCGCCUUACACUCCUCUCCGCCUGCUCCACCUACGUCCUCUACGCCGGCUCAUUCCUCUACUACAACCACCACAAGCACCAGGCUUUCGCUAUUGUCGCCGGAGCAAUCCUCGGAAUCGGCGCCGGCAUCCUCUGGGCCGGCCAAGGUUCCAUCAUGACGUCGUACCCUCCCUCGAAUCGAAAGGGGACAUACAUCUCGAUUUUCUGGAGCAUUUACAAUAUGGGUGGCGUCAUCGGAGGACUAAUUCCGUUUGUUCUUAACUACCACCGGAGCCAAGCGGCUUCCGUCAACGAUGCAACUUACAUUGGGUUCAUGAUUUUCAUGUCCAUCGGGACUCUUUUAUCCCUCGCUAUCCUGCCCCCCAGCAAAAUUGUCCGGGAUGACGGGACUAAAUGUACGGACAUUCAGUACUCAAACGUCACAACUGAGGCCAUUGAGAUUGCCAAGCUGUUCACAAACUGGAAAAUGCUUCUUAUAAUCCCGGCUGCUUGGUCGAGCAUUUUUUUCUACACCUACCUAUUCAACAACGUCAAUAAAGUUAUGUUUAAUAUGAGGACUAGAGGAUUGAACAAUGUGUUCUACUGGGGAGCGGAGAUUUUCGGGUCCAUUGGGAUUGGAUACGUUAUGGAUUUCAGCUUCAAGAGCAGGAGGACUAGGGGUUUCGUGGGCAUUUCGGUUGUUGGUGUCCUCGGGACUGCAAUUUGGAUUGGCGGACUUGCCAACCAACUCAACUACUCUCGAAGCGAUUUGCCUGAGAAGUUGGAUUUUAAGGACUCCGGCUCUGCUUUCGCAGGACCGUUCGUGUUGUAUUUUAGUUUCGGGUUGCUUGAUGCCAUAUUCCAGAGAAUGGUUUUCUGGGUCAUUGGAGCCUUGGCUGAUAACUCUGAAAUUCUAAGCAGGUAAUAGAAUAUUCCUUGCUUCCCAAGUCUUUAACCUUUCAAUGAUCUUUGUGCGUUUGGGCAAUUUUUCGUGUGCAGGACUGGACAAUCCAAUCCAAUCCUGCGCACGAAAUGUGGACUUAGUGGCAUUCACAGAACAAUGUGUGAUUCUAAAAAUUUAUUUAAUUUUGUGCAUGUUUUGUACAGGUAUGUUGGAUUCUACAUGGGAAUACAGAGUGCAGGGUCAGCAGUAGCUUGGCAAGUCGAUGCGCACAAGGCAUCCUUCCUCUCCCAAUUGGUUACGAAUUUCACGCUUUACACCGUGAGUUAUCCGCUGCUGGUGGUUCUGAUCUUGCUGGCCGUGAAGGAUGAAGGUAAGGCUGAUGUGGAGGAAUUUACCAAGGGGAAGGUUGCUGAAUUUACCGAGGAGAAGUUGCUGAGCCUGCAGCCUCAGAGAAGUGAUCGUAAUGAUCGUCGGCUUAAUUAGCAGAUGAAAUUAGUCAUAAGCCAUCCAAAUGUUUGUCUUAAUUACGUCCAUACAAUCGAAUCUUCACGAAUUAUUGUAAUGGAAAUGCCAGUAUAAUUGAUGUAGCACGUUCAAAUUGUCAAAAAAUUUACAGAGUAAUCAAAGUUCAUGUUUUGAUAAAAUGUCUGAAUGACUAGUUCUUGACCACGAUUGUCCAUUAUAUUCAUGGAUGCUUGGAAGGAAUACUGAGAGAGUCUUCUACUCAUCGAGGAACCUUCAUGUCAAACCCUAGCUAGUGAUAGAGCCAGAUGAUAUUUGACGUGAUUUUCCUAUGAUCUCUCGAGCCUUGAGUAUUUACAAAUGCUUGGUUAACAAUCCUUCCACCCUUGGACCAACUGGAGGCACGCACAGUGAUGAUGCUUCCUCAGAAGGAUCUCAUCAUGGUGUUUGAAUGAUCGAGGAAACAACUAAGCAAGAUAAUGCAAAGGAAUCAUGGUUUUUGCUUCAGAACCGCAAGAAAGGAGCAUAGAGUUUGAUAUCUCAUAGUUGUUUGCCAAUUCAAUCAGUUAUUGGGUUCUUUCGCACCAGACAUUUUUCAUCGGAGGAUGCUUUCGUUGUUGUUUUAGCCAGAAGGUAAGACGCGUCCACUCAAUAUGAGCAAUAGAUCAGGUUUCCUUUGCCCGUUGGAUUUCGGAGGCCACCCUACUCGUAGUGUGUAUUUGCUGGUAUGUGAUUGAGUUGGGCUGUCUAAAUCCUAAUUAGUGUUUUUUAUGACAUGUUAAAAGCCUUCUGGAGUUUUAACCACUCGAGCAAGGCUCGAGCAGUCCUUGUGAGGCCUCGGUGGGGGUCCAAGUACCGCUUGAAGGGGCCUCGACAGGACUCGAGCAUUGCUCUAGAUUAUCUUGACGGGUUUUCGUCAUAUUGUUAAACGUCUUUUAGUAAGGAAGCGUCGUAAUCGUGGAGCAAUAAUGUGUUUGACUUUCGGAUACAUGGUCCGAGAUUUCGAUUUGAUACUUGAUGUGUUCGUUGGAUCUUGUUGCAGAUUAGGAUCUACUUCCAAAAACUACAGUAGAAAAUGGUGUAGAGCCAAAGUCUAUAAUCUUGAAACGUAGGUCAUCCCUUUAUCCUUUCCACAACCCUAUUGCUGGUGGUCCGUUCUUGGACCACCAUAAGUACCGAUGAAAAGUCAAUCACGUCUUGUUAAAAUUUUCACAAUUGAUUUGGAAUAUUAAUAUAGUGAUAUUCUCGGCAUAUGUAACGUUUAAGUCAUCAUGAUAUUGUGUCUGUAUCUUAAGUCAGUCGCACAACAGUAAUAAUUGAACUCUGAACAAGAUUAUAAAAGUUGCUUGAGUAAUGAACUUAUUAAACAAAAACUCAUUCAUUUAGGAGACCGAGUUUACAAUUGUCGAAUGUUUUUUUUUUUUCCACAAACCAACAAAAACAAUAUCUUCCUCUCAAGAACGCUCGAUAACUCCCUAUUGAAAUGAGUUUUUAAUCCUUUUAUUUUCUUUAAAAUGAGACUAAUUAGUGGUUUCGUCAUGACAAUUUACUUUUUAUAGACCGAAAAAAUCCGCAGAAUAUAUUGAAAUGAGUUUUUGGUCGAUCAGGAAUUGCAGCCGCCCGACUUGCCGUUUAAUGAGCUAAUAAUGCCAAAAUGCUUUAACGUCACUUGGUGCGCUUGCGUUUGAAGAGUUUGUCGAUGUCAACAGCAAACUUAGACUUUUCUGUGAAGUAUGCCAAACAAGUUGAAAACAACAUAUAGCCACUCUUAAUUUACAAUUUCUCCCUCACGCUUGGGAAGGAAAAUACAAUUACUUGAUUAUCUGCGCCUGCAUAAUCAUAUUAGACAAACCAAGUUUAAUUAGUUACUGAAUUAUUUGAUGUUACGGAAAACAGAAGAUUAUACGUUGCAGACAUGAGCUUAAGUUGGUUAACAUAUUGUUUCCGUUUUUUACCCAACUUCAAGUCAUGCUCUUAAUAAUAAACAAUACAUCGUUAUUAUGAGGAGAUUUUUCAGUUGUCGGAAACACGACCUGAUACACUAAUAAAAUAAAAUUGUACCUAAUAUUUUAUCCGUACGUCUUUAUUUCUUUAAAUCUCAUACCAUCGAAGUUGUUUUCGAUCUUCACACUUUAUCUCUCUUUUCUUGGACCCUGAAUCAAGGACGGUUUGGCAUGGACAUAUACUCAUAUGCCCAUUCCAACUUGGGAAUUGAAAUACAAGAUUCCCUUCCACCCCUAAUCUAACGAAUGAUUAAAAAUUUGAAACUGUGAUUUUUUUAUGCAUAUUCAUAUCCCAUCCCGUCAGGAUUAGGGAUUUAUAAUCUGACUUUUCUCAGCAUCAUUCUCACACGCCCCGCUGGACUCUGAAAACCCAGACAAAGCCUGGACUCCAUAAAUUGUCAUUUGCUAUGCAUUCUUUGUCCAAUCCAAGGGUCCUUGUCCGUUUUGACCCUUGCAAUUGGUCCCGGACUAUAUCGUCCCGAGCUAAAUCCUUCUGCUAAUCACAACCACAUAAGUUCAUCCUUUCGAUUCUCCACCAAAUCCCCGUAAAUUAGAUUAGUUUAGAAUAUCGCUCGAUAAAAAGUUCGGAUCCCAGUUCCAUUUGGCAUUCAAAGGGAGGAACUUUGUGAUUAAAAUCACACAGAAGUCGUAAAAUUUAUCACCUGGGAUUCGAUGGUUUCCGAAGGAGUGGAAGAAUCGGGAGGCACGGAGGUGCCCCAGUCGAAAUUCAGGUACAACUCGCCGUUUGUCCAAGUGAGUUUGAUCGGAUUGGUCUGUUUCUGCUGCCCUGGCAUGUUCAUGGCCCUCUCUGGCAUGGGCGGCGGAGGCCAGGUCGACCCGACUGCCUCCAACAACGCCUCCACCGCCCUCUAUACCACCUUCGCCGUCUUCGGAAUUCUCGGCGGCGGCAUCUACAACAUCCUCGGCCCCCGCCUCACUCUCCUCUCCGCCUGCCCCACCUACGUCCUCUACGCCGGCUCAUUCCUCUACUACAACCACCACAAGCACCAGGCUUUCGCUAUUGUCGCCGGAGUAAUCCUCGGAAUCGGCGCCGGCCUCCUCUGGGCAGGCCAAGGCGCCAUCAUGACGUCAUACCCUCCCCCGAAC